UUCAUGAGAGACACACAGAGAGAGAGGCAGAUAUACAGGCAGAGGGAGGAGCAGGCUCCAUACAGGGAGCCCAAUGUGGGACACAAUCCCGGGACUCCAGGAUCACGCCCUGGGCCAAAGCCAGGCGCUAAACCGCUGAGCCACCCAGGGAUCUCCCUGAGUACUGUCAGUUCUGAUGGGACUGGUCAUUGUGCUAAUCAGGACCACAGAGAAGGGCAUUCAUUAUGAUCCAAACCAUCCACUAGCCAGUGUGUGGCAGUGUGAAAUGGACAGUCCUGCAUUGCUCAUCAAAUGGAAAAUCAACUAGCUAAGCAGUGGUCCUAUCAAACCUUCUAUCUGGCUUGCCCUUGAACUUCUUACUAUGUUAAAUUAACAUUCAGGCUACCCUAGUCUACAGGGGCAUCUCUGCCAGUUUAGAAGCUUGGUAAUUGCAGGAACCUCCCUCCUAUGGCCAAGGACUAGAAAUGUCUUGUUAGUGGCCCAGUACAGGCAGAUCUGCAGCAGCAAAGGGAUGAGCACAUCCUCCAGUAUCUGCUAAGAUCACUAGACUGGCUCACAGAGCUGGGAAAUCCAUAGGAUGGAAGGGAGUGGACAGAGGCCACGACAAGAGUGGUCAGAAGCAUGUGCCCAAGAACCGCCAAAGCUGGAAGGGCCCUUAAAGAUCCCCUAAUCUUUCUAUCUUUAGAGAUUAAAAAACUAGUGUCAGAGAGGGGACAGGACUGGUCCAACAUUGACCAGCCACUCAAGUAGUGGGUCAAGGGACAGAGCUUGGGGCUCCUAUGUUUUCUGUAGGGUCUUCAUGCUUUUUCCAGAGAUCACUCUGCCUUCCCGGCCCCUCAAAUCCUUCACCUGUGAAUCAAGGUUAGCUGGGAUGCAGCUCCCUUUGAAAAGAAUUAAUCUCUUCUAUGCAACCCUUUCUUGGUCCAUAGACAUAACAUGACAUUUAAAAUAUUAAAAAAUAUUUUUUUAUUUAUUCAUGAGAGACACACAGUGACAGGCAGAGACAUAGGCAGAGGGAGAAGCAGGCUCCCUGUGGGGAGCCUGAUGCAAGACUUAAUCCCUGGACCCUGGGAUCACGACCUGAGCCCAAGGCAGACACUCAAUCGCUGAGCCAACCAGGCAUCCCAAUGGCCCUGUUCUUAUAGCACGUGGUACGGACAUUAGCAAACAGCAGAACCAGCUGGAACCUUGGAUGGAUGAAGGAUGGUUCUGACGUGUGGUCAGCGGCCAGAGUCUUCAGUUCUAGAAUGAUUAAAUCAAGCUGCUUGCAAUGCAUACGGAGAUGAGGAUGGUGGCGAGAGGUGGGGAUGGGGGCAAUGCAAGAAAGUGAGGCCCCCCUCCCAAGGCCCAAGACAAAUGAUACCUGGCUGGGAUAGAAGGAUGGAGGGGAGUGUCUUUGACAAGCAGACCAGAGGGGAGCCCUGGGAAGCUGCUGGAAGGAUAUAACAGGGGAUAAGGGAGGGGUGGUUGGGAAUGGGAGAGAGUGAGUGAAGCCUGGCAGUUACGGAAUUAUUCCAACUUCACCUUUUCUCAGAAAAGUCAUUGUCUGCUUACAAGGACGCACAAGGUAAGUCAGGGCAGGAUACAUGAAAGCUCGCAAAGCAAAGGCAGCCAGAAAGCCAAGCCAAGAAUAAGGGUAGAAAUGCAUACUAUAAAAGCCUCUGCUCCCACCAGGGGUGGGUCUCAAAGUUGGCCAUAAGCUUUCCAGCAGCCAACAGGAAAGGGGAAACCUUGUCAUUAUACAAUUCACAAUGUCCAGAAGAUAAAAACAAACUCGUUGCUCAGAAGGGCAAGUGUUCUUAGUACUAAGAUCAGACAGGAAUUCCUCCCGGGGGUCCUCAGAGAGGAUGCUGUGGGAUACAAUGAACGACAUCCUUGACAACAUCCUUACAAUAGCGGUAGCAACGUGUUUCAAAGGGCUGUUUUUCCUAAGGACCCGCAGAAUCAACAGCCUGUAUCCCACUGUAGCCAGGCAAUUUGGAGCUGAAAAUAGCGCAUCAAGGUGCAAAUCAGUACAUCUAGUA
rnacentral:lncRNA from 1 species